CAGCAGCCGCGGGAAUACGGAGGGUGCAAGCGUUAAUCGGAAUUACUGGGCGUAAAGCGCACGCAGGCGGUUUGUUAAGUCAGAUGUGAAAUCCCCGAGCUUAACUUGGGAACUGCAUUUGAAACUGGCAAGCUAGAGUCUUGUAGAGGGGGGUAGAAUUCCAGGUGUAGCGGUGAAAUGCGUAGAGAUCUGGAGGAAUACCGGUGGCGAAGGCGGCCCCCUGGACAAAGACUGACGCUCAGGUGCGAAAGCGUGGGGAGCAAACAGGAUUAGAUACCCCAGUAGUCCCUGUCUCUUAUAA
rnacentral:rRNA from 1 species